AAGAAGUAAUAAAUAUAUAUAUACAAUUUCAAGGCCAAAUAGAAACAAAUAAAAAAAAUAUCCCAAAAAUUAAGGAUUAUGUUGAACAAAUAAUUCCGUCACUUAACGCAAUGGAAUUCAAAAAUCAUUUCAGAAUGUUAGCACAGACGUUCGACUUUAUUCUAAAGUAGAUUGCAAAUCAAUUACAACGAUUUGUAAGUGGCAAUGAAAUGAUAUCUCCAGAAAAACAGUUUUUAAUUACUUUGUGGCGUAUGGCAACACCAGAUUCAUAUAGAUCAAUUCAUACUAGAUUUGAUGUUGGGAAAGGUACAUCUGUUAGAGCAGUAUAGAGGGUUAGGCAAGCAUUGUGUAAUCUUGCUUCAAAGUUUAUUCAAUGGCCAACAAGAGAAAAAAUGGAAAAAAUUAAAGAAGGUUUUUCUCGUAUUGGUGCUUUUCCAGGAGUUAUUGGAGCAAUUGAUGGCACCCACAUAAAUAUACCAGCUCCUAAUAUGCAUGCAGAAGCUUACGUUAAUAGGAAAGGACAUCAUUCAAUUCAAGCUCGUUCUUUUUUUCAUUUCUGUUAAUAAAAUAUAAAGUAUAACUUUUUUAAGUUUAUUAACAUAUUUCUGUAUUUCUUUUGGAUAUAGGUAGUCUGUGAUCAUACAUAUCUAUUUACACAUGUGUACGUUGGAAACGUAGGAUCCUUACACGAUGCUCGGGUAUUUAGAUUGUCAGCUGUACAAGACUACGUUUCAGAUGCA